rnacentral:rRNA from 1 species
AGUGAACGCUGGCGGUAGGCCUAACACAUGCAAGUCGAACGGCAGCACAGUAAGAGCUUGCUCUUACGGGUGGCGAGUGGCGUACGGGUGAGGAAUACAUCGGAAUCUACUUUUUCGUGGGGGAUAACGUAGGGAAACUUACGCUAAUACCGCAUACGACCUACGGUUGAAAGCAGUGGAUCUUCUGACCUUGCGCGAUUGAAUGAGCCGAUGUCGGAUUAGCUAGUUGGCGGGGUAAAGGCCCACCAAGGCGACGAUCCGUAGCUGGUGUGAGAAGAUGAUCAGCCACACUGGAACUGAGACACGGUCCAGACUCCUACGGGAGGCAGCAGUGGGGAAUAUUGGACAAUGGGCGCGAGCCUGAUCCAGCCAUACCGCGUGGGUGAAGAAGGCCUUCGGGUUGUAAAGCCCUUUUGUUGGGAAAGAAAAGCAGCAGGUUAAUACCCCGCUGUUCUGACGGUACCCAAAGAAUAAGCACCGGCUAACUUCGUG